rnacentral:rRNA from 1 species
UACAGAGGUCUCAAGCGUUGUUUCGGAUUCAUUGGGCGUAAAGGGUGCGUAGGUGGCGCCGUAAGUCAGGUGUGAAAUUUCGGAGCUUAACUUCGAAACUGCAUUUGAUACUGCGGUGCUUGAGGACUGGAGAGGAGACUGGAAUUUACGGUGUAGCAGUGAAAUGCGUAGAUAUCGUAAGGAAGACCAGUGGCGAAGGCGGGUCUCUGGACAGUUCCUGACACUGAGGCACGAAGGCCAGGGGGAGCAAACGGG